rnacentral:rRNA from 1 species
AUUGAACGCUGGCGGCAGGCUUAACACAUGCAAGUCGAGCGGGGGAGGUUGCUUCGGUAACUGACAUAGCGGCGGACGGGUGAGUAAUGCUUAGGAAUCCGCCUAUUAGUGGGGGACAACAUUCCGAAAGGGAUGCUAAUACCGCAUACGCCCUACGGGGGAAAGCAGGGGAUCUUCGGACCUUGCGCUAAUAGAUGAGCCUAAGUCGGAUUAGCUAGUUGGUGGGGUAAAGGCCGACCAAGGCGACGAUCUGUAGCGGGUCUGAGAGGAUGAUCAGCCAGACUGGGACGGAGACACGGCCCAGACUCCUACGGGAGGCAGCAGGGGGGAGUAUUUGACAAUGGGCGGAAGCCUGAUCCAGCCAUGCCGCGUGUGUGAAGAAAGCCUUUUGGUUGUAAAGCACUUAAAGCGAGGAGGAGGCUCUUAAGGUUAAUAACCUUGAUGAGUGGACGUUACUCGCAGAAGAAGCACCGGCUAACUCUGUGCCAGCAGCAGCCGCAGUAACAC